CACGCCGUAAACGAUGAAUACUAGGUGUCGGGGGGCAGAAGCUCUUCGGUGCCGUCGCAAACGCAGUAAGUAUUCCACCUGGGGAGUACGUUCGCAAGAAUGAAACUCAAAGGAAUUGAC
rnacentral:rRNA from 1 species